rnacentral:rRNA from 1 species
CCUACGGGAGGCUGCAGUAGGGAAUCUUCCACAAUGGGCGAAAGCCUGAUGGAGCAACGCCGCGUGGGUGAAGAAGGCCUUCGGAUCGUAAAACCCUGUUGUUAGAGAAGAAAGUGCGUGAGAGUAACUGUUCACGUUUCGACGGUAUCUAACCAGAAAGCCACGGCUAACUACGUGCCAGCAGCCGCGGUAAUACGUAGGUGGCAAGCGUUAUCCGGAUUUAUUGGGCGUAAAGGGAACGCAGGCGGUCUUUUAAGUCUGAUGUGAAAGCCUUCGGCUUAACCGGGGUAGUGCAUUGGAAACUGGGGGACUUGAGUGCAGAAGAGGAGAGUGGAACUCCAUGUGUAGCGGUGAAAUGCGUAGAUAUAUGGAAGAACACCAGUGGCGAAAGCGGCUCUCUGGGCUGUAACUGACGCUGAGGUUCGAAAGCGUGGGUAGCAAACAGGAUUAGAUACCCGUGUAGUC